rnacentral:rRNA from 1 species
UUGAACGCUGGCGGCAUGCCUUACACAUGCAAGUCGAACGGCAGCACGGACUUCGGUCUGGUGGCGAGUGGCGAACGGGUGAGUAAUGUAUCGGAACGUACCUUUCAGUGGGGGAUAACGUAGCGAAAGUUACGCUAAUACCGCAUAUUCUGUGAGCAGGAAAGCAGGGGAUCGAAAGACCUUGCGCUGAUUGAGCGGCCGAUAUCAGAUUAGCUAGUUGGUGGGGUAAAGGCCUACCAAGGCGACGAUCUGUAGCGGGUCUGAGAGGAUGAUCCGCCACACUGGAACUGAGACACGGUCCAGACUCCUACGGGAGGCAGCAGUGGGGAAUUUUGGACAAUGGGGGCAACCCUGAUCCAGCCAUGCCGCGUGAGUGAAGAAGGCCUUCGGGUUGUAAAGCUCUUUCGGCCGGGAAGAAAUCGCAUAGGCUAAUACCCUGUGUGGAUGACGGUACCGGAAUAAGAAGCACCGGCUAACUACGUG